rnacentral:rRNA from 1 species
GUGGGGAAUAUUGGACAAUGGGCGAAAGCCUGAUCCAGCCAUGUCGCGUGUGUGAAGAAGGUCUUCGGAUUGUAAAGCACUUUAAGUUGGGAGGAAGGGCAGUAAGUUAAUACCUUGCUGUUUUGACGUUACCGACAGAAUAAGCACCGGCUAACUUCGUGCCAGCAGCCGCGGUAAUACGAAGGGUGCAAGCGUUAAUCGGAAUUACUGGGCGUAAAGCGCGCGUAGGUGGUUUUGUAAGUUGGAGGUGAAAUCCCCGGGCUCAACCUGGGAACUGCCUCCAAAACUGCAUUGCUAGAGGACGGUAGAGGGUAGUGGAAUUUCCUGUGUAGCGGUGAAAUGCGUAGAUAUAGGAAGGAACACCAGUGGCGAAGGCGACUACCUGGACUGAUACUGACACUGAGGUGCGAAAGCGUGGGGAGCAAACAGGAUUAGAUACCCGGGUAGUCC